AUUCUGCAAUUGCAAGUAACAUUUGGUUAGAUUUUAUGGAGCUUCCGCAGAAAAAGAGAAGAAGGCCAUAUAGAGCAGGAAUGGCCUAAAGGAUGGAGAGGAAUCUUGCACAAAUGGAAUCAGCACAAGAAUUAAAGGAGAUGACAGCGAAAAGCGACGCGUGCGCGUGCCUGA